rnacentral:rRNA from 1 species
AGCAGUAGGGAAUCUUCCGCAAUGGGGGAAAGCCUGACGGAGCAACGCCGCGUGAGUGAAUGAAGGUCUUUCGGAUGGUAAAACUUCUGUUAUUAGGGAAGAACAAGUGCGUAGGUAACUAUGCGCACCUUGACGGUACCUAAUCAGAAAGCCACGGCUAACUACGUGCCAGCAGCCGCGGUAAUACGUAGGUGGCAAGCGUUAUCCGGAAUUAUUGGGCGUAAAGCGCGCGUAGGCGGUUUUUUAAGUCUGAUGUGAAAGCCCACGGCUCAACCGUGGAGGGUCAUUGGAAACUGGAAAACUUGAGUGCAGAAGAGGAAAGUGGAAUUCCAUGUGUAGCGGUGAAAUGCGCAGAGAUAUGGAGGAACACCAGUGGCGAAGGCGACUUUCUGGUCUGCAACUGACGCUGAUGUGCGAAAGCGUGGGGAUCAAACAGGAUUAGAUACCCUGGUAGUCCACGCCGUAAACGAUGAGUGCUAAGUGUUAGGGGGUUUCCGCCCCUUAGUGCUGCAGCUAACGCAUUAAGCACUCCGCCUGGGGAGUACGGCCGCAAGGCUGAAACUCAAAGGAAUUGACGGGGACCCGCACAAGCGGUGGAGCAUGUGGUUUAAUUCGAAGCAACGCGAAGAACCUUACCAAAUCUUGACAUCCUUUGACCGCUCUAGAGAUAGAGUCUUCCCCUUCGGGGGACAAAGUGACAGGUGGUGCAUGGUUGUCGUCAGCUCGUGUCGUGAGAUGUUGGGUUAAGUCCCGCAACGAGCGCAACCCUUAAGCUUAGUUGCCAGCAUUAAGUUGGGCACUCUAAGUUGACUGCCGGUGACAAACCGGAGGAAGGUGGGGAUGACGUCAAAUCAUCAUGCCCCUUAUGAUUUGGGCUACACACGUGCUACAAUGGACAGUACAAAGGGCAGCGAAACCGCGAGGUCAAGCAAAUCCCAUAAAGCUGUUCUCAGUUCGGAUUGUAGUCUGCAACUCGACUACAUGAAGCUGGAAUCGCUAGUAAUCGUAGAUCAGCAUGCUACGGUGAAUACGUUCCCGGGUCUUGUACACACCGCCCGUCACACCACGAGAGUUCGUAACACCCGAAGCCGGUGGAGUAACCUUUUAGGAGCUAGCCGUCGAAG